UUUUGUUGUUGUUGUUGUUUUUGGUGCUGGGGAUCAGACUCGGGACCUUGCACUUCCAAGGCAGGCAGUGGAAUCACUGAGGUAAAUCCGCGGCCCCUGUUGAAUGAAUCCUGAUGGAGAGAACAUAAUCAUUGGCAGAAACAGAUAAAGCACAAGUAAAUAAACAGAUAAAAUUGUAACUCAUUCUGAUAAACACAAUCAAAGAAAGGAGGAAAACUAAGGUAAAUAGAAGAAUAAAAGAGAGGCCAACAUGAGGCGCGACAGAGAUUUUCCUCAGGGAAGGAAGUGCAAGUUCAGCCCCACAGGAUAACCAGCGGCAGCCCCGUGAAGACCUGAGGAACAAGCGACAAGGUGGAAGGCAUGGCCUGUGCUGUCUCCCAAGGCCACCCACGGGGGCAGCGGAGGGGCUGACAGGGAGGGAAAGUGGCUGGAUCAUCAGGAGGCCAGGAGAAAGAAAGGACGUGGUUAGGGUUGGCAGGGCUGAGGCUGCUUGGCCUCGAGGGCCAUAAAAGCAGUGUUAGAGUCUGAUCGCAGUCACCGUAGGAAUCAAGCUCCGUGCUUUGAAUUAUGAGCUCAUCACAGACCAUGGAGACCGAGUCCUGAUGCCGGAGCCAGCAUCAGAACCUUCCCUUCAUCGUGAAGCUGAAGCAGUUUGGUAGAAAUUCCUCUCUGCCUGGAAUUUGUUCCUCCCUGUGUCCGGGAACAUGUGUGACUUGGCUGCAGCUCCAGGCUUUAUUAUGGGACCGUUGAAGACACACCAGGCAGGGGUGACGGGAGGCAGAGGGGAAAUGAAAGGAAUAAAGGGUGAAGCAUAGAAAAGAUUCCUUGCUGAAAAGGUGGAGCCAUGAAGUCAAAGCAGCGUGCAUUCCCAAGUCCCUGAUGUUGAGCUAACGGUCGUUAGCCAGAUUCAUACCGGAUUGCACACGAGCAAGAAAUAAACCUUGUGUUGGGCCAGAGAUAGUAGGUGUUUUUCACUUCCACCAACUCUAGCCUGUUUGACUUGGGAAAGUGUAUCCAUGACCUGUAACUGGCCUUGGGGUUUGAGAACCCCAAGAAUAGCUUGCUAAAUAUUGUGAGCGCGUGACGAUGAGCACUUUCUGAUGCACUGCCUUACAGGAUAAACCUAAACGCUGUCUUCUUACAGCUAGUGUUUAUUCAACUGUACUCCCUUGUGAUGUCCCCUCUUGUUUGUCCUGACUCUCGUUUCCAUGUAGAGAAAUAAAUCUGGGCUUCAAAUUCAGAAGAUCUGAGUUCGAGGUGUGGCAAAGAGUUUUUUUUUAAAUAAGCUAUAUAACCUAAUGCAAGUUACUUAAUUCCCUAAG
rnacentral:lncRNA from 1 species